UACGAAGGGGGCUAGCGUUGCUCGGAAUCACUGGGCGUAAAGGGCGCGUAGGCGGCGUUUUAAGUCGGGGGUGAAAGCCUGUGGCUCAACCACAGAAUGGCCUUCGAUACUGGGACGCUUGAGUAUGGUAGAGGUUGAUGGAACUGCGAGUGUAGAGGUGAAAUUCGUAGAUAUUCGCAAGAACACCGGUGGCGAAGGCGGCCAACUGGACCAUUACUGACGCUGAGGCGCGAAAGCGUGGGGAGCAAACAGG
rnacentral:rRNA from 1 species